GAUGAACGCUGGCGGCGUGCCUAAUACAUGCAAGUCGAGCGAACAGACGAGGAGCUUGCUCCUCUGACGAUAGGGGAGGAGGGGAGUGUAACAUGUGUAUAACCUACCUAUAAGAGGGGGAUCACUACGGGAAACCGGAGAUAAUACCGGAGAAUAUCUUGAACCACAGGGUUCAAUAGUGAGAUUCGGCGUUGCUGUCUCGUAUAGCUGGAUCUGCGCCGCAUUGGCUAGUUGGUAAGGUAAAGGCCUACCAAGGGUACGAGGCGUAGCCGACCGGACAGGGUGGUCGCCCACACUGGACGUGAGACACGCUCCAGGCUCCUGCGGGAGGCAGCAGUCGGGAAUCUUCCGCAAUGGGCGAAAGCGUUGCGGAGCAGCGGCACGUCUGUGAUGACGGCCUCCCGAUCGUGAAACUCUGUUUUUGGUUGAGAACAGAUUUGUACUUUACUGUGCCCUUAUUGACGGUACCUGGUCAGAAAGCCACGGCUAACUACGUG
rnacentral:rRNA from 1 species